AUACCUUUCUCAGCCUUUUGGCUAAGAUCAAGUGUAGUAUCUGUUCUUAUCAGUUUAAUAUCUGAUAUGUGGAUUUUUGUGAAUUUUGCUGAUAUGACAAAAAUCACAAUUAAUAUCAUCAUUACAAAUAUCUGAAAAUUUAAUGAUGUUUUUCCUAGCCAUUCACUUCAUAACUCUAGUGUGGAGGUGUCCCAAU
rnacentral:snRNA from 1 species